rnacentral:rRNA from 1 species
UACGAAGGGGGCUAGCGUUGUUCGGAAUUACUGGGCGUAAAGCGCGCGCAGGCGGUCCUUCAAGUCAGAGGUGAAAGCCCAGAGCUCAACUCUGGAAUGGCCUUUGAGACUAGAGGACUUGGGUACGGGAGAGGUGAGUGGAAUUCCGAGUGUAGAGGUGAAAUGCGUAGAUAUCAAGAGGAACACCUGAGGUGAAGACGGGUUGCUGGGCCGACACUGACGCUGAUAGCGCGAAAGCCAGGGGAGCAAACGGG